GGGUUCGUAGCUCAGUUGGUUAGAGCACUGCAUUGACAUUGUAGAGGCCACAGGUUCGAGUCCUGUCGAACCCA
rnacentral:tRNA from 1 species